UACAGAGGUGGCAAGCGUUGUUCGGAAUUACUGGGCGUAAAGGGCGCGUAGGCGGUCUUUUAAGUUCCGUGUGAAAUCCCUCGGCUCAACUGGGGAACUGCACGGAAAACUGGGAGGCUUGAGUUCGGGAGAGGGAAGCGGAAUUCCGGGUGUAGCGGUGAAAUGCGUAGAUAUCCGGAGGAACACCGGUGGCGAAGGCGGCCUCCUGGACCGACACUGACGCUGAGGCGCGAAAGCUAGGGGAGCAAACGGG
rnacentral:rRNA from 1 species